rnacentral:precursor_RNA from 13 species
GCUCUGGCCCAGGUCUCCUCUGUCUGCGCCACUCAAACUUCGGGGGCACUUUGUAAUGUGGACCUAAAGUGCCGCUGGGUUCUGAGUGGCGCCGGUGGAGACUACGACCUGCUGCGCCC